GCCCCAGUGGCCUAAUGGAUAAGGCACUUCCCUCCUUAGCCAGGAUUUGUGGGUUCAAGUCCCAGGAGGGGUG